rnacentral:rRNA from 1 species
UACGUAGGGUGCGAGCGUUGUCCGGAAUUACUGGGCGUAAAGAGCUCGUAGGUGGUUUGUCGCGUUGUUCGUGAAAACCGGGGGCUUAACCCUCGGCGUGCGGGCGAUACGGGCAGACUUGAGUACUGCAGGGGAGACUGGAAUUCCUGGUGUAGCGGUGGAAUGCGCAGAUAUCAGGAGGAACACCGGUGGCGAAGGCGGGUCUCUGGGCAGUAACUGACGCUGAGGAGCGAAAGCGUGGGGAGCAAACCGG